AGUGAACGCUGGCGGUAGGCCUAACACAUGCAAGUCGAACGGCAGCACAGGAGAGCUUGCUCUCUGGGUGGCGAGUGGCGGACGGGUGAGGAAUACAUCGGAAUCUACUUUUUCGUGGGGGAUAACGUAGGGAAACUUACGCUAAUACCGCAUACGACCUACGGGUGAAAGCAGGGGACAUUCGGGCCUUGCGCGAUUGUAUGAGCCGAUGUCGGAUUAGCUAGUUGGCGGGGUAAAGGCCAACCAAGGCGACGAUCCGUGGCUGGUCUGAGAGGAUGAUCAGCCACACUGGAACUGAGACACGGUCCAGACUCCUACGGGAGGCAGCGGUGGGGAAUAUUGGACAAUGGGCGCAAGCCUGAUCCAGCCAUACCGCGUGGGUGAAGAAGGCCUUCGGGUUGUAAAGCCCUUUUGUUGGGAAAGAAAUCCAGCUGGCUAAUACCCGGUUGGGAUGACGGUACCCAAAGAAUAAGCACCGGCUAACUUCGUGCCAGCCGCCGCCGUAA
rnacentral:rRNA from 1 species